rnacentral:sRNA from 16 species
UUGACAUGGAAAUGAGAAUCAUUAUUAUGUCACUCAACUGGUCGCGAGAUCAGCCGGUAAGCUGAGAGACCCACGCAGUCGGACUCUUCAGAUUAUCUCCUCAUCAGGCUAAUCACGGUUUUUGACCCGGCACUUUGCCGGGUCUUUUUUU